CACGGAAUCUCUACGAGUAGUAUACAGGGUCUGAGUCUUGAUGGCCAUUUGCUUCAUGUUGUUCAGGUAGUCACUCCUGAAGGGCAAUCACUGAGUCUGGUUCACUCCAGGUGAUCACUCAUGGUUACUCACUAGGACUUCUUUCAAGUGAACAUAUGUGUAAUUUUUGGAGUGCGGGUCACCCAAUGUCUUUGGGAACAUGGU